GCCUCAGAAGGAGCUUUUUCCCAUCGUGAGGAUGCUUGGAGCCUGGCCUUGAGUGAGGAGUGAGAUGCUGCUCUUCAGCUCCUAGGCAGUGGAGGUCCUGCAUGUUUUUAUGAGCCAUGGACAUCCUCCAUGUGCCAAUCAUCAAGGUGGCCUCACCCCCAGCUGCAGAAGAUCCCUGUGGAACUCAUGGAGAUGAGGUGGUGGUAAAAGCAGUGGUUGUGGAAGAUAAGCUCAUGGUGGUGGAACACUGGCGAUGGUAGAAGUGUUUUUGGGCAUCAUGGUUAUGCAGCCACAAUGCUCUGGGGGUCUCUCCUUGGAUCUUACGCUGCUUGUUUUGGCUUACGGACCAGUGCAUACUUUUAUGGCCAUUCAUUACUACAGGAAUGAAAAUAAGGCCCUUGAACCACUCCCCACCAUCCUAAAGCAGCUUCUUCUUACAUGGCCUUGGAUCAGCUCGCCAUCCACGUCCAACAGAACAAAUGCUAGCACAGGGGUCUUCCGUGGCUGAGACAGGUUCUGUGACUUGCAUUUGACUGAUGAAAUAUGGCAGAAGUGACACUGUGUGACUUCUGAAGCUUGUGCAGAAGAUGCUUUGCAUCAUCUUCCAGGAGUUCUUGAAACACUUUUUGGGACCCAGCUACCACAUAGUGAGAAGACCCAGCCACACACAGGUGCUCCAGUGGACAGCCCCAUCUGUGCUCCAAGCCAGCAUCAACUGCCAGCCUUGUGAAUGAACCACCUUGGACUUUCAGCCCCACUGAGCCUGCAGACAACUCCAACCCUACAUACUGCAUGACUGCAGUAGGAUGAAAUAGAUAAACAGGCCCAGGGAGGUUUUGUGCCUAGCUUGAGUCAACACUGCUCUGGUGGUGGUCAGUCUCCUGCUGCUCGGUCCACAGUGCACACUAUUUCUGCUCUCUCUGGCUGGAGAGUCAGGGAAACUGUUGAGCCUACGAUAAUGAAGUCAAUUCUGAUCAACUGAGAUGCAGGAGGAACUCUGAGCAAGAUGAAGAAGGGGUGAAUGGUGACCUGUUCAGCCUGGCUGUUGGGCAUCCCCGGCUUUCAGCAGCACUGGAGGAAACGGAGCCAUGAUGGGCAACACACCAGGCAACAGCCGGGUCCUGCAAUGACUGGAAACUCAGCCAGCGGUUUCCAGGAGAUUCUCCACUCACCAGGAAAUUGCCCAGCUGAAUGGAGACAGGGAGUUGCUCCUCUGGUCCUCAGAAAGGAAAGAGAACCAGCAACGACUGCCUCUUCCACUGGCAUCUCUACCUGGUCAAAGAACCAACCAGUCACAAAAGAGAACCUUGGUGAACAUCAGUGGGGAGAAUGAAAUUAUGCUCAAUCAGCAGGAUGACCUCAAAAUGAUGAGGAAACAAGUUCACAGUGGAUUAGGAAUGUCCCUGAGUUCAUCCAGAGCCUGAAGAGGCCAUUGGUUCUAUGCCCGAAUGCCUGUAUAUAUGAUGGGACAGUGAAUCUGGGUGCUUUCUGUGCUCCAUGUGGAGAAGGUGAAGCAGUCACUCUUGUCAUCUCUCUAAAGAACUGAGUUGGAGCGCGUCUUUGGAUAGGAGCCGUGCUGCUGCUGACUGGGGAAGAGGUGUGGUCUAAUGGUGACUGAGCCUGCCAGAAUUUUGAAACAGACAGGUGUCCAGAUCAUCUUGGCUCAUCUGGAUUUUGGAUGCUUUGUCACUGAGAAGAUUAGGAAGAUGAGGCUCAGAAAAAUGAAGUGACAUACCUCUGAGUGAGGCAAAGCUGAGUCUGGUGACUCCAAACCGCAGUGAGCUGCUGCAUCCCUGGUGAUGAGACGGGCUUCCUGCUUUCAUACAAAGCUCUCGAGUCUUCUCCAAAGAGUACACCCAAGACCUUGCCCGGUAAAACUGGAUGACUUUCCUCAGGCAUAGGAAAGCUUAUUUUCACUCCUGCAUGCUUAGAACUUGAUAUACAAGAGGAUACAGCAACAAAACCAUCACAGUCUUGUCCCUAUAGAGUCCACAGUCUGUUGAGAAGAAAAGCGACAGAACAGGGAGCUCCACAACAUGGGAAGUGCUCCAGUCCCACCUUCUUUUCAGAUACAGUCCUGAAAAGAAGAGCAGAAAGCACCAAUUCCAAGUGUACUCUACUUCCUGUAAUCUCCAGCUCUAGGUACUGAAAAGAAACAAAAAGCUUGGUAGCAGGCAAAGGAACAAACACUUGUAGGGAUGCAGAUGUCCCUGCCUCACUUGGUGCCACCUGGAAAAACCUCUAAUUGGCUCAAAUCCCUCCUUUCUUACCACUUUUAAUUGAUAUGCCUGGUCCUGAACUCACAUUCAACAUUCCCAUCCUAAUUCCUGGACUGGUGGGGGUGGCAUGGAGGUGGAAAAUGGGGUGGUAUGAAUGAAACAUGCUUGGGCAUGAACUCAUGAAAUUACUGAAGCUGGUGGUGAGUACAUGAGCAUUGACUAUACUAGCUCCUCUAUUUCUGAUUACGUUUGAAAUUUUCUAUUAUAAAACAAAGAAAA
ensembl:lncRNA